rnacentral:misc_RNA from 1 species
UUUCCGUAGGUGAACCUGCGGAAGGAUCAUUAAAAAAUGUGGUACCAAUUAUUGGUACUAAUUAAUCAUCCUACCCUUUGUGAAUUUGUUUGUAUGAAUUUUUUAAAUGGGUCUUUCCCUAAGUUGGAUUGUUGGUAAAAUACAAAAAGACUUAGGGAAUGACUUUUUUAAAAGACUUUUUUUUAAUUAAACUUUUUGUAUUCAUUUGUCUAAAAUUUAUUUUUAUAAUAUAAAAACAACUUUUGACAAUGGAUCUCUUGGUUCUCGCAACGAUGAAGAACGCAGCAAAAUGCGAUAAGUAGUGUGAAUUGCAGAAUACGUGAAUCAUCGAAUCUUCGAACGCAUAUUGCACUUUUUUAGUUUACUAAAAAAGUAUGUCUGUUUGAGUAUCAGUAAAAUAUUCUCACAAACAUUAUUGUUUGUGGUUAUGAGUGUUUUACAACGAUAAACAAGUUGUUUCACUUUAAAUUCUUUUUAAUUGAAUUUUACCAAUUCAUAAAUUAAAAUUGGAUAAAAUUUUCCUUUAACCAAGGAAUAACCUAAACAAAUUUUAAAUUUUAUGGAUUAAUAAACAUUCAUCAAAGGAAUCUAUUAUACAAAAUAACUUGAUCUCAAAUCAGAUAAGAGUACCCGCUGAACUUAAGCAUAUCAAUAAGCGGAGGAAAAGAAACUAACAAGGAUUCCCUUAGUAACGGCGAGUGAAGCGGGAAGAGCUCAAAUUUGAAAUCUUCAAGGUUUGACCUUGACGAAUUGUAGUUUAUAGAAGUGUUUUCUGUUGGAGUUUGGUAAAAGUUCUUUGGAAUAGGACAUCAUAGAGGGUGAGAAUCCCGUAUUUGACCAUGACUUUCCAGCUGUGUGAUACACUUUCAAAGAGUCGGAUUGUUUGGGAAUGCAGUCCAAAAUGGGUGGUAAAUUCAUCUAAAGCUAAAUAUUGGCGAGAGACCGAUAGCGAACAAGUACCGUGAGGGAAAGAUGAAAAGAACUUUGAAAAGAGAGUUAAACAGUACGUGAAAUUGUCAAAAGGGAAGCGUUUGACACCAGUGUUGUUUUCUCGAAAAUCAAUUUAAUGAGUUCUUGUUUUUAAGUUAUUGUGACUUUAUCAGCGCAUUUCUUAUUUUACUUGGCUCAUUGAAUGCACUUUUCGUUUAACAAGUAACAUCAAUUUCUUGGUGGUAAAAGUUUAAAGGAAGGUGGCUUGGACUUCGGUUCAAGUGUUUAUAGCCUUUUUUUUCUAUGCCAUCGGAGAGAUUGAGGUCUGCAGCGUAGAUCCUUCGGGUUAGAUACUUUAGUGCUAAGUUAUAGUUUUUUAUAGACAACUUGUUGAC